GCUGGCCCCAAGCUGCACAAACAGCCCCAGCCCUGCCCUGGGGUGCAGCCUGGUGCCUCCUCCAGCCCCAGCCACCACAGGUGCAUCAGCAGGAGGGCAGCUGUGUGCCAUGAGCAUAAAGCGGGCUGCUGAGCUGCAGCUGGGACAGACCCAUUAAAAGUGCUGCCACAGGGCACUGCUCUCCUGGGGGGAUGUGUGCUGUGAGCUGAGUGAGGCUGGGGGCAAAGCUGUGCCCCCUGUGCGAGCCUGAACCGAGGGCAGGGGAAGGCACCUGCAGGAGCAGCACAGGGAAGAGCCGUGUGGGAGCUGGAAUUGUUUCAAAGCCCUGCAGUUUCUCUAGCAAAGCGCACCGUGCUUUGAGGCGCUGGGGGAAGCUGAGGCCCUUUUGCAGUCAAGCAAUGCUGAGGGAGUAAAGUCUGUGACAUGCUGAGCGCUGGAGCAUCCCUGGCUAAAACUGGCAGAAGUUCCCAGUCCACCCAUUGGUGUGAGAGCCUGGCCGUGCCCACAGCUGCCCCCACGGGGAUGCCUGGGCCCCCCCAGCUCCAACACAGAGCUCUGGGCUCACCCCUUGGUGGAUCUGUGCCUGGAGGGCUGCAUCUCCAGCUGGUGGGGGGCUGCAGCGUGUGGCAGAGCAGGUCUCUGUGUACCCCCAGCCCCGGAGUGCCCACGUGUGCCUCGCUGAGCGUCCCAUGGCAGCGGGCACCAGGCUGGGGCAUCCCACGCUCAGCCUUGGCUGGGGGGUGUGAGCCUGGGCACUGCUCCCUGUCCCCCGAGCCGUGGGUCCUCGCCACCUGGGGCCAGGUCCUGCUGCACUUCUGCUGCACAUGUUCCAGCUCCUGUCUGAAGCAGCAUCAGCGCCCGGCCGGUGCUGUAACCGCAGAGCCCGCCUCUGCCGCCUCCUUGCUGUUGCACUUGUUUAAUUUGACUUGGGGUUUUUCCACUGCUUUUUUACCAGGAAAAAAAAAAAAAUCCUUCAGAAAAUGCAUAUCUGUGUAGGUGACUCUGCUGAGACACCAACCACCACCACAGAGAGGGGGAGAGGGUGUGAAAGAGACGGAGCCAGGUUCUGCGCCACCGCCCCGCUGGGGAUCUGGCACGGGGCCACUGUGGGAAGCGGGGAUGUGCUGGGGGGAGCUGGUCCUGGGGCGAGCUGGUGUCCUGGGGGGUGUCCUGCUGCUGGGGCAGUAUUUGGGGAACCCAUCCCAACCCACAAGGAGCAGAGGGAGCUUUCCAGCCAUCGCACAUGCUUCGUCUUAAUUUAACUUCUCACCAAUGAAGUUUGUGCAAGCAGAUGCAUUGUAAAGAGGUGACAGCCCGUGAUCUGGGGGGCCACAAAGCUGACCUCGUGGUGGGGACAGGUUGCUCACCUGAGUCCCUAAGUCUGCCGUGGCUCUGGGAGCAGAGCAAGCUCCAGCUGAGCAAACACCUACCCAAGGCAUUCAGAUGCAUUCGGCAGCAUCCUCGGAUCAAGCAGCUCUUCCAGCUGAGUUGCCAUCACCACUGGUUUGAGGAGCUCCUAACAGCCCCACCACCUUCCCUUCGCUUCCCCAAGCCGCUCGUGUUGCGUUUGAAUCCUGUCUGUGCUGAGGAGGUAGCAGUGAGGAGGUGAGCGCUGUGCUGGGCUUUGUUUCAGAGGAGCUGGGGGCGGCAGCCUGCCUGCGGGCACCGCUGCUCACAUCCAGCUCUCGGGGAGAGGGGAGCAGCCCAGGGGUGCCCCCAGGCUUGGGGUGACUGACACUGGCAGUGAGGGCUGGGAGAGCUCUGCCGUGCUGGGGCAUUGCCCUAUGUGAGAGAACAGCGGCCCUAAACUCUCAGUCUGUGCCCACCGCUUGAAUUGGGAGCACUGGGGAGGUUUGCAGGGAGCUGCUUUUGGGCAGAUGGUGCAGGCUGAGCCCAGUCUGGCAGCAGCAUGGUGCUUUUGGGGCUGAGAGCCUCUUGCCAGGACAGGAGCGGUGCCCUGCGGUAGCUGCUCAGUGCCACCACCCCCAUGGCACAGCCACUUGUCCCUGCGGUGGUGGCCGGCCCCCCGCAGCCCUGAGCGCCCGAGGUUUUGCAGCUCCGCAGCAGGGACCCUGUGCAAACAGCCUCGGGAUCCCUUGCAGAGCGGGAAGCUGGGGAAGGAUAAAGAUGAAUUUCCUUCCAACUCCCCAGGCAUCUGGGAGGUGGGCGGAAGGUAAAAAAAGAUGAGCCUUGAAGUUUUAAUUCCUUAGAGAUAUUUAGGUACCUUGCUCUUGUUACUCGAGGGAGCUGAGUGCCUGAGCUCAUAACCCAGCACUUUGUAGCCGAGCUUUGACCUCUGCUUCUCCACUGGAUGUUAAAUUUCAGAGAACUUCGGGCACAGCGGCCACACCACUUGCUCCAUGCAGCUUAGGCCCAAUAAGUUGUCUUUGGGAUAGCCGUUCCUGUAGGCCAUGGCUCAUGAGACAACUUGCCUGAGCUUACCAGGACGUGCCAAGAGCCCAGGUCUGAAAUUUGACCUUGCAGGAGGGCUGAACUCCCGGAUGGGGAUGGCAGGAAUACUGCUCAUCUCCCCAGGUCUUAGUUCCCACACCGAGGGAGCAGCAACAGCCAGAACAGUGCCUGAAAAGUGUUUCACUGGAUGAGAAGUAAUGAGAUUUUUAGAACCCAAACUAGAGCCUUUUAGUCUUUUGGCUUUCCAAGUUGCGAUCAAUAUUCUUGGCCGUGUUUCCACCAUCAGCAUCAUGAAAAUCAUAGUUCUGUCGCAAACCCCUCCUUCCCCCUGCCCACCCCCUUCCAAUAACCCUCCCUGGGGGAAAGUGCUUUGAGGGGAAAAAGACCUGAGAUAAAAUCAAUUAAUUGCCUUUGCAUUCUCUGAUAAAUGCAGUGCAGAGAGUACGUACUUCGCAAUACAAAUGAACUAAAGCAGCAGCAACAAAAGCCUGCUGAAAGGAAACAUUACCCCAUAAGAGCAGCCCGCUCCGGGCACCAGGCUGGUGGUGGUGUGCAGGGGCUGCUCGGGGUGCUCCGACCCGAUGGGAUGAGAGGGGUGGAGGAAUCCUGCAGAGCACGGGAUGAACAGAGGGUGGAUGCCUUUUCAAAAUGAGAGAAUGCAAAAUGCGGUAUGUGAGUUCAUCUCCUCCAAAUUAAACGUUACCUGAAAGGCAGGGCCAUGGUGAGGCUGGAGUAAUCGGGCAGAUCCUCUCUGCAUGCUGGUGAUCCAGUUCUCACGUACCGUGUUUUCAUGUGAAGUGCCCUGCAAGGUUCCUCAACUGGAGAGGGCUGCCCUGCCCUGCCCUGCCCUGCUGGGGACACUGGGGGCACCCCUCCAGCUGCCCACCCAGGGGUGCCCCUGGAUUAAAGCAGUGCCAUUAAAUCAGGACCGUGAACCAAAGCUCACUGGUGGUGCAGAACACGGACAAAUGCUUCUUGUGGACUUGCAAUGGAUUUCCGCGGGGCUGAGCAGGGAGAGGGGAGGAGCAGACAACUCAGGGCAGGUGGCACCUGGCCAGCAGCGAGGCUGGGGAUGCUCGUGCUGCCCCAAGCCCCCACAGGGUGCCCAAAGCUUUGAUGCAUCCUCCAGGGCCCAGAGGAGCAGGAGCAGGAGAGCAGGACCUGCUCAGGUGCCCCCCACCCCGGCUGCUCCCCUCCCUGCACUGCUCAUCCAUCACAUCCAGGGGUGGCCUGGGCUCCUCCAGCCCCACGGAGGGGCAGGGGGCUGCUUUGUGCCCUCUUACACAGCAGAGGCUUCAAAACAGCCUGCACGGGGAGCACGGAGCCGAGCUGCUGAAGGACACGCUCCUGGGGGCCGGCCUGGCCCAGCGCCGCGGUGAACUCAUCCGCAGAGGGCAUGAUUCAUCCCGAGCUCACCCUGCUCCGUACGUCUCGGACACUCAGUGCCAGAGUAUUUUACUGCUCUUGGCUGCUGGUAGGCUCCCGUGUGCCCAGCCCUGGGGAUGCUCCUCCUGCCCUCGGUGCAGCCGUGGGGCUCUGCAGCCAGCACCAGGCUGUGCGCGGGGUGGGUGCAGGGGAGCAGCGAGCUGUGCCACCGUGCCUCCCUCCUGCAGGAGGGACCGAGGGAGAGCAAAGCAAGCCAGCAGCACGGAGGGCAAUGUAAUACGACAAAGGAUUAACUUGCUGGCUUCACGGCUGGCUC